rnacentral:rRNA from 1 species
UAUAAUGCAGUCGAGCGAGAACCAGUCCUUCGGGACUGGGGAAAGCGGCGAACGGGUGAGUAACACGUGGGUAAUCUGCCCUCGGCACUGGGGUAGCCCGGGGAAACCCGGAUUAAUACCGGAUAGCCUUUCGAGCCUUCGGGCUCGUCAGAAAAGGUGGCUUCGGCUUCCGGCUGAGGAUGAGCCCGCGGCGGAUUAGCUUGUUGGUGAGGUAAUGGCUCACCAAGGCUCCGAUCUGUAGCUGGUCUGAGAGGACGAUCAGCCACACUGGGACUGAGACACGGCCCAGACUCCUACGGGAGGCAGCAGUAGGGAAUCUUGCGCAAUGGGCGAAAGCCUGACGCAGCGACGCCGCGUGCGGGAAGAAGGCCUUCGGGUUGUAAACCGCUUUCAGGAGGGACGAAGCCACCCGGGUUAAUAGCCCAGAGGGUGACGGUACCUCCAGAAGAAGCCCCGGCUAACUACGUGCCAGCAGCCGCGGUAAUACGUAGGGGGCAAGCGUUGUCCGGAUUUAUUGGGCGUAAAGAGCGUGUAGGCGGCCAGAUAGGUCAGCUGUGAAAACUCGAGGCCCAACCUCGAGAUGUCGGCUGAAACCAUCUGGCUAGAGUCCG